rnacentral:rRNA from 1 species
GACGAACGCUGGCGGCGUGCCUAAUACAUGCAAGUCGAACGCAGUGGGGACGGGUGAGUAACACGUGGGUAACCUCCCAUCAGAGGGGAUAACACUUGGCAACAGGUGCUAAACCGAUACUGAUGGAUGGACCCGCGGGGCAUUAGCGAGUUGGUGGGGUAACGGCUCACCAAGGCCACGAUGCGUAGCGGGCCUGAGAGGAUGACCGGCCACACGGGGACUGAGACAGGGCCCAGACUCCUACGGGAGGCAGCAGUGGGGAAUGUUGGACAAUGGGCGAAACCCUGAUCGAGCAAUGCCGCGUGUAUGAAGAAGGUUUUCGGGUCGUAAAGUUCUUUUGUUAGAGAAGCGGUAUCUACACAAUAAGCCCCGGCUAACUACGUGCCAGCAGCCGCGGUAAUAC